rnacentral:rRNA from 1 species
AUUGAACGCUGGCGGCAGGCCUAACACAUGCAAGUCGAGCGGAUGAAGGGAGCUUGCUCCUGGAUUCAGCGGCGGACGGGUGAGUAAUGCCUAGGAAUCUGCCUGGUAGUGGGGGAUAACGUCCGGAAACGGGCGCUAAUACCGCAUACGUCCUGAGGGAGAAAGUGGGGGAUCUUCGGACCUCACGCUAUCAGAUGAGCCUAGGUCGGAUUAGCUAGUUGGUGGGGUAAAGGCCUACCAAGGCGACGAUCCGUAACUGGUCUGAGAGGAUGAUCAGUCACACUGGAACUGAGACACGGUCCAGCCUCCUACGGGAGGCAGCAGUGGGGAAUAUUGGACAAUGGGCGAAAGCCUGAUCCAGCCAUGCCGCGUGUGUGAAGAAGGUCUUCGGAUUGUAAAGCACUUUAAGUUGGGAGGAAGGGCAGUAAGUUAAUACCUUGCUGUUUUGACGUUGCCAACAGAAUAAGCACCGGCUAACUUCGU